GUGUAAUAUUUGUUCCAGUAGCAGUACACUGGAAAGUGUUGCAACCUGAUCAGUCACGAUAUGCAAUUUAUGCAGUUAAUUCAUAGGUGAAAAGGUUGUUUGGAUGUUAUAUAUUGGUUAAACCAAGAUGCUUAAUGAUUCCGAUGAUAGUUGUUAUUUAACAUCCUUUAACAUCUAAAAAUACACUAAAAGGUUGUGUGGAUGUAAACCAUGAAUAGCAACAAGAGAACAAUAAAUAAAUGUAUUUAGAUAUAUAUUUGCAGUCUUGAGAGUGUAACUGGAAGGUUCAGCUGUAGGAACAAGGAUGCAUAGUCUAUAUAUAAUCGUUCUUUGCUCGUUUAACUGUGCAUUGUGAGAAUACAAACUCUUCUUGGUCUUUAUAAAUAGUAGCCCCGUUGACAAAAUUCCGUCAAUGACGUAGUGCACGCGCGUAGUUGAGUAGGUGAUGCUUUUUAGUGAAUGAGUCCCCCUCCCUCUCCAGCUUACUAGUACUAUCAGAUCUCUAUAAAAAGCGCACGGUAGAUAGAAAAGCGCUUGAGAGCUGCUUGUUUCUACCAGGAAAAAGAAGACAAGACGAGCGUGAUGAGUUCAGACAGUGGCCCAAAUGGAGACACUAAGAACUUCUCAUUAGGCAGUACACCAAGCCAUCCUCCUGGAGCGCCGACAUCUAAUAGACAAGGUACUAGAAAACGGGCAGCCAUCAGAAAAUCGACUGCAUUUUUGGCGAGGACUCUGUGUUUCAAGUAGCUGUUCCGUCUCUCCAUGUGAGCUGACUUCACCUCGAUCUUGCCCAGCAUGACUAUAAUGUGAGUCUUCACCAGUUUGCCAGCACUUCAUGACCUUGGCUCUAGACUGCUUACUGCUUAUGGAGUCCAACAGUACAGUAACAGUCUACAGUCAUGGCUACUGAAGUCUGGCUCCAGCAUCACAAACACACAACACUAAUACAGGGUUUUUGCCUUACAUCUGUAUUACUUUGGUUGUGAUAGAAAAGGGAACGCUGUUAAAAUGCGCAUGCACGCAUUCAUCAGAAAUACUCGGCUGUGACGGCAAACAGUUGUGUAUAUCUGAGCCUGUAUUGGGGGAGUCCUGUGCUAUGGAGGCAUGGCGUUUCAUCUAACAAGCCAAUAGAACUGCACUAUUUCCAGUUACCAUGCCAACACCUACUCUGCUGUCUCCAUGGUGACCGUGGCUUUAGAUUGUUACUGUAGCGAUGGCACAUGGUAACAGUCUACAGCCAUGGUCGCCAAGGGGCAGGUGUUAUAGCAACAACUGAAAGAAUCAGAAAUGAUUCUGGCUGAAUUAUGUUUCAUGUGUGUAACCAGAAACUGUAGCUAAUGGAGGCUUUUCUAAGAAGCAGAAUGAUAUGAUUUCAGAAAGUAGGUCAACGUCUGACUUAUAUAUAUAUAUAUAUAUAUAUAUAUAUAUAUAUAUAUAUAUAUAUUUUUUUUCCUCCUUCUGAAACUCAAUUGAAAGACGUCUCUGUUGACUUCAAAGUAAACAUGCUUUUUCUCAGACUUUGCCUGCUGUAAUACAUCAAAGCUAGAUUGUGAUUCUUUGAAGUUCUUGAUUUGAGACCAAAAAUUUUAUUCUUUGCACAACAUACUUCAAUACAAACAGAUUCGCUUUCCAUUGUAACUGAUGCAUGUACUGUACCAAAAUAUACAAUUGUUUCUCUCUAAUGUUUUCCUGAUGAUUCAGUUUCUUCCCUGAUGGCCAAGUGAUUCAUUCUAAUGUGGAGUGCCAAUGAUUGCUCCUUUCUUUCCAGACAAUUUCCUGUGGAACAAGGAGAGGCAGUUUCAAUAAGGAUAGGGUGAUCGAAUAUUGUUUAAUGUACUGUAUAACUGAUGAAACCAAUACAUUUUUUUUACUGGUUGCAGUGCCAUCUGGUACAGCAGCAGGGCAGUUGUUUUAGUGAAUUCAGAGAGUAAUUAAUACAUAUCCAACUGGCAGGGAUGUCUUGUCUAAAUGUAUUUGAAUCUGCAGUAAUUUUCAGUAGAGGGCAAUAGAACAUGGCCCAAAUGCUAAAAAAAAAAUCCAAGUUUAGCAGUUUAACAUCGCCCUCUUGAGGAGAGAGUUUGUAGUUGCGGAAAACAAUCUGUGGGCAAGUGUUGUGCUUGGUACCAUUUUAUGUAAUAGAAAGAAAUUAUAUUCAGAAAUGUUUUUCAUGAGUUUCUUAAGUAAAUAAAAUAUCAACAUGCAAACACAA